ACAAAAGAAUGAAAAACUUCAUCUCUGAAAAGCUCUCUUUGAAGCAUCCCUGGAGAAUAAUAUUUUCUAGUAAACAAUUGAAACAACCUUCUAUAACUAGUAAUUGAUGUUCUUGUUGAGUUAUGCUGAUGAAGAAGAAGACAAUGGGGAAGAAGACAAUAGUGGGUAGGGGGUUGCAGAGGGGUUGUAUGAAAUAAUUUUAAAAAAUAUUUUUUUUUUUAAAA